AUGAAAUUUUUCUCUAACUUUGACCACACGCCAACAGCCGUUGCUUCUUCAUUAACCAAGAACACAACAUCCCUCUCAAGGCAUAAGAUUAUGGCUGCCCGUGCUUCAAGAACUAACUCUUCUCAAUCCUCAUCCUUCAUACUCUCAGCAAAAGAUCUUGUAAGAAAAAUGUUGAACUCAGAUGAUAAGCAGAGGCUAACAACAUAUGAAGUUUUGAAUCGUCCAUGGAUUAAGGAAGGUGGAGAAUUGCCAGACAGUGUCUUCGAUGAACAACACACAUUGACAGAUGACAAGGUUGAAGUUGUUGUCUUGUAUCCAGGCAUGUGA